rnacentral:rRNA from 1 species
GGCGGACGGGUGAGUAAUGUAUAGUUAAUCUGCCCUUUAGAGGGGGAUAACAGUUGGAAACGACUGCUAAUACCCCAUACUCCUUUUGCCUUAAUGGUAAUUGGGAAACGUUUUUUCGCUAAAGGAUGAGACUAUAUGGUAUCAGGUAGUUGGUGGGGUAAGAGCCUACCAAGCCAAUGACGCCUAGCUGGUCUGAGAGGAUGAUCAGCCACACUGGAACUGAGACACGGUCCAGACUCCUACGGGAGGCAGCAGUGGGGAAUAUUGCACAAUGGAGGAAACUCUGAUGCAGCAACGCCGCGUGGAGGAUGACGCAUUUCGGUGUGUAAACUCCUUUUAUAUGGGAAAGAUAAUGACGGUACCAUAUGAAUAAGCACCGGCUAACU